GGCAAUCAUCAACCAUUUUAACCCCAAGAUAGAGUCGUACGCUGCUGUGAACCACAUCUCCCAGCUGUCAGAAGAGCAGGUGCUCGAGGUGGUUCGGACCAACUAUGACACACUGACCCUCAAACUGCAGGAUGGUUUGGACCAGUUUGAGAGAUACUCGGAGCAGCCGAAAGAGUCUGCCUUCUUCAAGGAGCUAGUUCGCUCCAUCAGUCUGAAUGUGAGGAAGAACGUCUCUCUUAACACACUGAGUCAGGACAUCUUGCUCAAAGAGUUUUCAACCAUCUCCUGAGACACACAUUCACACACACACCAAGCCUUCUCCUUUCUUCAGAUGGACAUGGACAGUACUAUUUCUGUGUGCGUAUGAACAUGUAAACAGACUUUGACACAUACAAUACAAACACCAAAAGUA